CAAUGAAUGAGAGUUCCUAUUGUUUCACCUGCUCGCCAUCAUUUGGUGUUGUCAGAGUUUGAAAUUUGGGCCAUUAUAAUGGAGUAUCUGUCUCUUGGCUUCCUGAGAAUCUGUCGUGAUUAAAUAGUGAAUGAAAGAAACUGAAUGGAAUUUUCUGUACCAUUGUGCCCAGAAUUGGUUCCUUCCCGUGGGUUCUUUGUCUCGCUGACUUCAAGAAUGAAGCUGUGGAUCCUCGUGAUAACAGAGAAAAACAUUGUUUUCUGAAAAACAAUUCUGCAAAAACAUUGACAUUAACAAAAAACACACCCGCUUGGAAAAGAGGAUAACAUGUUGGUCAAUGGUUAAAUUAUAUUUACUUUGAUAUGUCUCUACAGGUUAAAUCAAUACCUGUAUGAAGCUUGAAGUUCACAUUUAUUAUGGAGGGCACUUGUAAAAGUGUAUUUGAAGCCUGUAAGAGCCAGAAGGACUCAGUCAUAUGCUGCCUUCUGUGCCUGAUGUUUUCUUUUGAACUAGGGAGAGACGUGAACAUACAGUCUGUUAUUGUAGUUUAUGCACAAAGAGUCAAAUAAGAAAGAUGUGGGUGUCUGUAUAAGAAAAGGUUUAGAAAACUUGGCAUAUUUUCUAUGAAUGUUAAGAACUUGUAUUAUUGUAAUUCUG